GCCCGGACUGCGGCGGUGUCCCCGCAGGCUGUGGCACGGCGGGUUAAGUGCCCGAAAAGCAGUCGAGCUUCUCGACUUUUCCAGGCUCGGCGACCUCAAACUGCGCUCAUGUUGGAAGGGAAAUUUGUAAACGGGCGGGUUGCAGUGCAGGACCGACCGCAGCCGGGCUCAGGAGGGACAAGGCCCGGUCUCCGGACUCCCUCAUGAGAUGUCACGUUGAGAGAUCUCGCAUUGCUGUAGAAUGUUUCAUCGUGCUGAAAUGAGCUGAGAGAUAGAUCAAGAUCUCUAGAAGCAAUACAUGCAAAUCUGUCUAACAGCAUGUGUCCAUUACAAAAAUUCAAAUCUAUCCACAUGUAACAGCAUGGAAAAUGUGUUCAUGAAGGCAGAACAAUCAAUACAUAGGAGAAAAGUCA